rnacentral:rRNA from 1 species
CACCUACGGGGGGCAGCAGUGGGGAAUAUUGCACAAUGGGGGAAACCCUGAUGCAGCGACGCCGCGUGAGUGAAGAAGUAUUUCGGUAUGUAAAGCUCUAUCAGCAGGGAAGAAAAUGACGGUACCUGACUAAGAAGCCCCGGCUAACUACGCGCCAGCAGCCGCGGUAAUACGUAGGGGGCAAGCGUUAUCCGGAUUUACUGGGGGUAAAGGGAGCGUAGGGGGCAUGGUAAGCC